UUUUUUGUUUAUUAAAUUUAAAGUCUGACCUGCCCACUGUAAAAAUGAAUGGCCGCAGUAUUUUGACUGUGCUAAGGUAGCAUAAUCAUUAGUUUUUUAAUUAAAAGCUGGAAUGAAGGGUUGAAUGAAAAAAAAAUUUUAUUUAAUUAAAAUAAUUAGAAUUUUAUUUUUAAGUAAAAAAGCUUAAAUAUUUAUUAAAGACGAGAAGACCCUAUAGAGUUUUAUAUUAGUAUUUUUUUUAUAAUUUGGAAUUUUUUUAUAAAUUUUAUUAUUAAUAUUUAAUUGGGGUGAUUUUAAAAUUUAAUUAACUUUUUUUUUAUAUUUAUAUAUUUAUAUAAAUUAAUGAUCCUAUUAYUUAGAUUAAAAGAAAAAAUUACCUUAGGGAUAACAGSGUAAUUUUAUUAAAGAGUUCAAAUCGACAAUAAAGAUUGSGACCUCRAUGUUGGAUUAAAA
rnacentral:rRNA from 1 species